CUCUCCCUACGGGGGGCAGCAGUGGGGAAUAUUGCACAAUGGGGGGAACCCUGAUGCAGCAAUGCCGCGUGAAGGAUGAAGGUUUUCGGAUUGUAAACUUCUUUUGUACGGGACGAAGAAAGUGACGGUACCGUAAGAAUAAGCCACGGCUAACUACGUGCCAGCAGCCGCGGUAAUACGUAGGUGGCAAGCGUUAUCCGGAUUUACUGGGUGUAAAGGGCGAGUAGGCGGGAUUGCAAGUCAGAUGUGAAAACUAUGGGCUCAACCGAUAGAGUGCAUUUGAAACUGUUAUUCUAGAGUAUGGG
rnacentral:rRNA from 1 species